rnacentral:rRNA from 1 species
GAUGAACGCUGGCGGCGUGCCUAAUACAUGCAAGUCGAGCGAACAGAUGAGGAGCUUGCUCCUCUGACGUUAGCGGCGGACGGGUGAGUAACACGUGGAUAACCUACCUAUAAGACUGGGAUAACUUCGGGAAACCGGAUCUAAUACCGGAUAAUAUAUUGAACCGCAUGGUUCAAUAGUGAAAGACGGUUUUGCUGUCACGUAUAGAUGGAUCCGCGCCGCAUUAGCUAGUUGGUACGGUAACGGCUUACCAAGGCAACGAUGCGUAGCCGACCUGCGAGGGUGAUCGGCCACACUGGAAGUGAGACACGGUCCAGACUACUACGGGAGGCAGCAGUAGGGAAUCUUCCGCAAUGGGCGAAAGCCUGACGGAGCAACGCCGCGUGAGUGAUGAAGGUCUUCGGAUCGUAAAACUCUGUUAUUAGGGAAGAACAACUGUGUAAGUAACUAUGCACGUAUUGACGGUACCUAAUCAGAAAGCAACGGCUAACUACGUG